ACGGGUGAGUAACGCGUGAGUAACCUGCCUUAGAGAAGGGGAUAGCCUUUGGAAACGAAGAAUAAUACCCUAUAACACCAACACCUCGCAUGAAGAGUUGGUCAAAGAUUUAUCGCUCUAAGAUGGACUUGCGUCUGAUUAGUUAGUUGGUGAGGUAACGGCCCACCAAGACAGCGAUCAGUAGCCGGCUUGAGAGAGUGUACGGCCACAUUGGGACUGAGACACGGCCCAGACUCCUACGGGAGGCAGCAGAU
rnacentral:rRNA from 1 species